AUUGAACGCUAGCGGGAUGCUUUACACAUGCAAGUCGAACGAGUGUCGGACGGGUGAGUAAUAUAUCGGAACGUGCCCCCUAGCGGUGGAUAACUACUCGAUAGUGUUGCUAAUACCGCAUACUUUUGUUGCGUCCGUUAUCGGAUUAGCUACUUGGUGGGGUAAAGGCUGACCAAGGAAACGAUCCGUAGCUGGUCUGAGAGGACGACCAGCCACCCGGGGACUGAGACACGGCCCAGACUCCGACGGGAGGCAGCAGUGGGGAAUUUUGGACAAUGGGGGAAACCCGGAUCCAGCCAUCCCGCGUGUAUGAGAAGGCCUUCGGUCUGUAAAGUACUUUUGGCAGUGAAGCGGUAUCUGAAGAAUAAGCACCGGCUAACUACGUGCCAGCAGCCGCGGUAAUUC
rnacentral:rRNA from 1 species